rnacentral:rRNA from 1 species
ACGCACGCUGGCGGCACGCCUAACACAUGCCAGUCGAACGAGACCUUCGGGUCUAGUGGCGCACGGGUGCGUAACGCGUGGGAACCUGCCCUUAGGUUCGGAAUAACUCCCCGAAAGGGGUGCUAAUACCGGAUAAUGUCUUCGGACCAAAGAUUUAUCGCCUUUGGAUGGGCCCGCGUUGGAUUAGCUAGUUGGUAGGGUAAAAGCCUACCAAGGCGACGAUCCAUAGCUGGUCUGAGAGGAUGAUCAGCCACACUGGGACUGAGACACGGCCCAGACUCCUACGGGAGGCAGCAGUGGGGAAUAUUGGACAAUGGGCGAAAGCCUGAUCCAGCAAUGCCGCGUGAGUGAUGAAGGCCUUAGGGUUGUAAAGCUCUUUUACCCGGGAUGAUAAUGACAGUACCGGGAGAAUAAGCUCCGGCUAACUCCGUG